rnacentral:rRNA from 1 species
GAUGAACGCUAGCGAUAGGCUUAACACAUGCAAGUCGAGGGGCAGCAUGGUCUUAGCUUGCUAAGGCUGAUGGCGACCGGCGCACGGGUGCGUAACGCGUAUGCAACUUGCCUCACAGAGGGGGAUAACCCGUCGAAAGACGGACUAAUACCGCGUACACUCUAUGUUGGGCAUCCAAUGAAGAGGAAAUGAAAUUCGCUGUGAGAUAGGCAUGCGUCCCAUUAGCUAGUUGGUGAGGUAACGGCUCACCAAGGCGACGAUGGGUAGGGGAACUGAGAGGUUGAACCCCCACACUGGUACUGAGACACGGACCAGACUCCUACGGGAGGCAGCAGUGAGGAAUAUUGGUCAAUGGGCGAGAGCCUGAACCAGCCAAGUCGCGUGAAGGAUGACUGUCUUAUGGAUUGUAAACUUCUUUUAUACGGGAAUAACAAGAGUCACGUGUGGCUCCCUGCAUGUACCGUAUGAAUAAGCAUCGGCUAACUCCGUG